rnacentral:siRNA from 1 species
CGCCUAUUUUUGGAGGGUCCU